rnacentral:misc_RNA from 1 species
UACGGAAGGUGCAAGCGUUAAUCGGAAUUACUGGGCGUAAAGCGUACGUAGGCGGUAACGUGUGUCGGAUGUGAAAGCCCUGGGCUCAACCUGGGAAUUGCAUUCGAAACUGCGUAACUAGAGUGUGGUAGAGGAAGGUGGAAUUCCACGUGUAGCGGUGAAAUGCGUAGAUAUGUGGAGGAACACCGAUGGCGAAGGCAGCCUUCUGGGCCAACACUGACGCUGAGGUACGAAAGCGUGGGGAGCAAACAGG